GAUGUAUAUAGAAAUCAUGCACUGAUUCAAUUAUUAUAAUUUCCAAACAAUUAUGUCAAAUAAUUCUAUUGCUAGAUCUAAAUCAUCAGUGUGAAAGUAGACCUAUGUAAAAGGUUAAAAAUCUCAUACUAAGCCAUUGAGCUGCAUCUGAA
rnacentral:sRNA from 1 species